GAUGAACGCUGGCGGCGUGCCUAAUACAUGCAAGUCGAGCGAACAGAUAAGGAGCUUGCUCCUUUGACGUUAGCGGCGGACGGGUGAGUAACACGUGGGUAACCUACCUAUAAGACUGGGAUAACUUCGGGAAACCGGAGCUAAUACCGGAUAACAUUUGGAACCGCAUGGUUCUAAAGUGAAAGAUGGUUUUGCUAUCACUUAUAGAUGGACCCGCGUCGUAUUAGCUAGUUGGUAAGGUAGCGGCUUACCAAGGCGACGAUACGUAGCCGACCUGAGAGGGUGAUCGGCCACACUGGAACUGAGACACGGCCCAGACUCCUACGGGAGGAAGAAGUAGGGAAUCUUCCGAAAUGGGCGAAAGCCUGACGGAGCAACGCCGGGUGGGUGAUGAAGGGUUUCGGCUCGUAAAACUCUGUUAUUAGGGAAGAACAAAUGUGUAAGUAACUGUGCACGUCUUGACGGUACCUAAUCAGAAAGCCACGGCUAACUACGU
rnacentral:rRNA from 1 species